GUCCCUCGUGUUUUCAUAUUUCUUCGCUUGUUUAUUAUAACCAGACAAUAUUCGUUUUUCGGAAGAUCUUCGAGGAAUCGACUGUCGUACGAUUUCUUGACGUUUGAAUGAAUAAUAUAGGAAAUGAUUAUUUUAAACGAUCAGGUGCUACAAGAUAAUUUUAGCAAGUUUAGAAAAAAAAUCCAUCGAAGGCCGUUUGGACAGUGUGAAAGGUUAUACGGUGUCGUUCCAACGAUAUACCAUCGGGGGAAUUAAUUCAUGUAGAAAUGCAAGAUCCCAGAAGAAUCGAAGGGAACUUGCACAGAAGUGAUCCUUCAAAAUCAUCCAGGAAGUCAUCGACGGGUCUGGUCAUCCGGUGUGCCGAUAAUUGGCGGUCAUCCUAAGGUAGAUAAGUGGAUCUCGUUUUACCUGGAAUCUAUUGGAAUGGUGUUCAACUUCUGGAGUUUACCGAGAGGACGUCGCAGUCGUUUAACAAUUAUUUGCACAAGAGCGAAACAGAGGAAAUGAGCAGCGAGGAGGCAACGAUACGCAAGAUUAUACUACUGAACGCGCCCAAAGUGUAUCAAAACUGCAGAAAACAAAUGGAAGCUAAAUCUUCUUUCGCCAUAAAUUCUGUAUCAAUCGAAGGGUAAAAAACAAACAAGAAGGGGAUGAAGAAGAAAAAGGAAAUUCUCGUCUAAACACGACAUGUGGGAACAGCUUUUUAUUUGUCGGAUCAAUUUAAACGAGACGAAGGCACCGAUUCGAUAGAUUUUCACCGGUUAAAUCCCUGUCGUGACGGUAUUGAGAGUGGCUGCUGGGAUUCAGGGAUGGAUUUCAAUGGACCGGCAAGACCUCGCGUUCCCCCGGGGGGUGACAUUUCGCGGAUCCGUCUUAACGAAGCUUGCUGCUGCUUUACUAUGCACGUGUAGUUAGGCAUAAAUCCAUCCACCGAGAAUCAUUAGGCGGUGAAAUAAAAAGGAUUGCCGGCUUUUCAAGGACGCGUGGGAGAUGCUGGAUACGCUAGAUUGAUUCGACACCCCUAGAGAGACAUUAAAAGGGAGUGCUUCGAAUGUAAUUCGUGAGAGGGUAAAUUGUAUUCGUAAACGAAAGCUAUUAAUCCUUUCUACUAAAUACAAAGUGUCCUAAAAUGAAGAAAAUAUUUUCUAAAAAUUACCAAUUAACGAAAGUGAAAUCAAAUAAUUAAAAAUAAUAUUAAUCCAACUUUGAUAUAAUAAAACACAUCAAAGUUACUGAAAUUUUAAAAAUAAAUAUUUCAUGAAAAUUGUUCACUUUAAAUUCUAAAGCUAGGCUCGCGUGAAAGAGAAAAUCUUCCCUUUUAAAAUACCUGUCACCGCAUGUUGAUAGCAGUUUUCGUUUUCGAGAUAUCAUCGUUUAAAGAGAGACAUGUGCAACUCUCACUCCCACGCGUAUUGACCUGGGCCACCCUACGCACACGUGAGGCAGGUCAUUGACAGGCACUGAAUGACUCAUCGUUUUUUACUACUGCUGUUACUAGACGUACGCACUUCCAGGGGAAAAUGUGGGUCACGAUAUUUCCAGGAAUUUCGUCGACCGUUCAUUACUCCUUCGUAGUAUAUUCCACUGUAUCUCUGUAAUGAAUUGCAAUACGAACUUUGAA